GUAUGGGAUGUAAAAUUUGCCUCUAUAUGGAUUGGUCAUCUCAAUAAAUGCUGCAACAAUACGGGUAACUCCCCCAAAAUAGAAAAUCAAAAGCAAUCAAAUCAUGCCCACAAGACGCCUACAAGCAAGGACAACCUUUACUGAAAUCUCUCAUUCUCAAUCUUCCCAACCAUACCAUCCAUAGGUAAUUUGGUAUACGCUUUGAGGAAAGAUACGCAGUUAGACUUUUCCCUGGAACCCUCCUCUUUCCCUCUCUACCCAGCUUCUUUAAUUCGUACUUUAACCUUUCUACCUUUAUUUUUUUUAAUAUUUUUUUCAAAUAUUUCACAAACCCUUUUGAG
rnacentral:misc_RNA from 1 species